UACAGAGGUCUCAACCGUUGUUCGGAUUCAUUGGGCGUAAAGGGUGCGUAGGCGGUCGCGCAAGUCGGAUGUGAAAUCUCGAGGCUCAACCUCGAAACUGCAUUCGAUACUGCGUGGCUAGAGUGCUGGAGGGGAGACUGGAAUUUACGGUGUAGCAGUGAAAUGCGUAGAUAUCGUAAGGAAGACCAGUGGCGAAGGCGAGUCUCUGGACAGCAACUGACGCUGAGGCACGAAAGCGUGGGGAGCAAACAGG
rnacentral:rRNA from 1 species